rnacentral:rRNA from 1 species
AUUGAACGCUGGCGGCAGGCCUAACACAUGCAAGUCGGACGGUAGCACAGAGGAGCUUGCUCCUCGGGUGACGAGUGGCGGACGGGUGAGUAAUGUCUGGGGAUCUGCCCGAUAGAGGGGGAUAACCACUGGAAACGGUGGCUAAUACCGCAUAACGUCGCAAGACCAAAGAGGGGGACCUUCGGGCCUCUCACUAUCGGAUGAACCAAGAUGGGAUUAGCUAGUAGGCGGGGUAACGGCCCACCUAGGCGACGAUCCCUAGCUUGUCUGGGAGGAUGACCAGCCACACGGGAACUGAGACACGGUCCAGACUCCUACGGGGGGCAGCAGUGGGGAAGAUUGCACAAUGGGCGCAAGCCUGAUGCAGCCAUGCCGCGUGUAUGAAGAAGGCCUUCGGGUUGUAAAGUACUUUCAGCGGGGAGGAAGGCGAUGUGGUUAAUAACCGCAUUGAUUGACGUUACCCGCAGAAGAAGCACCGGCUAACUCCGUGCCAGCAGCCGCGGUAA